GAUGAUGGUGAGGACAACUACUGAUUAGAGACUUAAAACUAUCUCAGGCUUGGUACAAACUUUCACAAGAUUUCUAUUUAAAGCUCAAGAUUUUGUCUCUCAACUC